GACGAACGCUGGCGGCGUGCUUAACACAUGCAAGUCGAACGGAAAGGCCCUGUUCUUGUGGGGUGCUCGAGUGGCGAACGGGUGAGUAACACGUGAGUAACCUGCCCUUGACUUUGGGAUAACUUCAGGAAACUGUGGCUAAUACCGGAUAGGAGCUCCUGCUGCAUGGUGGGGGUUGGAAAGUGUCGGCGGUUGGGGAUGGACUGGCGGCUUAUCAGCUUGUUGGUGGGGUAGUUGCUUACCAAGGCUUUGACGGGUAGCCGGCCCGGGCGGGUGACCGGCCACCUGGGGACUGAGGGAGGGCCCAGACUCCUACGGGAGGCAACAGGGGGGAAUAUUGCACAAUGGGCGGGAGCGUGAUGCAGCAACGCCGCGUGCGGGAUGACGGCCUGCGGGUUGUGAACCGCUUUCGCCUGUGACGAAGCGUGGGUGACGGUAAUGGGUAAAGAAGCACCGGCUAACUACGUG
rnacentral:rRNA from 1 species